CUCACCCUCCCUUGUUACCCCGCCUAUAUACCGCCGUCGUCAGCCUACCCUGUGAAGGACUAGAAGUGAGCAAGAUUGGUAAAACCCAAAACGUCAGGUCGAGGUGUAGUGAAUGAGAGGGAAAGAAAUGGGCUACAUUUCCUAAGCCAGGAAAUACGAAUAAUGAACUGAAAUAAGCAUUAGAAGGUGGAUUUAGCAGUAAGUAGGAAAACAGAGUGUUCCGCUGAAGAAUGGCCAUAAAGCACGCACACACCGCCCGUCACUCUCCCCAAGCUACCCUAACCAGCACAUACCUAAAAAAUUAUUCAUGCAAAGGGGAGGCAAGUCGUAACAUGGUAAGCGUACCGGAAGGUGCGCUUGGAAUAAC
rnacentral:rRNA from 1 species